rnacentral:lncRNA from 1 species
GACCCUCGAUGGCUGACCCUUCUUCUUCAUCUUCCAGCAAUAAAUCAGCUUCCUUCACCACCAAAUAACGUUUGCCGACCAAAAAAAAUCGCCUAAUUUGAUUAGAAUAAAAUUAAUUAAUGCUCGUAAUAGCGGCAAGAACAAAACAAGAGACCAUGAGAAUGGCAACUGACAAUUGGGUGAAAUGUGAAAGAGAAAUCCUUCUAUUUUCCCAUUUCCACAAAUAUAUUGGUAAAAACCACGGCCUCCAUUCCAAUCUCUCACCCUACAUUCU